CACGUAGUUAGCCGUGGCUUUCUGAUUAGGUACCGUCAAGAUGUGCACAGUUACUUACACAUUCGUUCUUCCCUAAUAACAGAGUUUUACGAGCCGAAACCCUUCAUCACUCACGCGGCGUUGCUCCGUCAGGCUUUCGCCCAUUGCGGAAGAUUCCCUACUGCUGCCUCCCGUAGGAGUCUGGACCGUGUCUCAGUUCCAGUGUGGCCGAUCACCCUCUCAGGUCGGCUACGUAUCGUCGCCUUGGUAAGCCGUUACCUUACCAACUAGCUAAUACGGCGCGGGUCCAUCUAUAAGUGAUAGCAAAACCAUCUUUCACUUUAGAACCAUGCGGUUCUAAAUGUUAUCCGGUAUUAGCUCCGGUUUCCCGAAGUUAUCCCAGUCUUAUAGGUAGGUUACCCACGUGUUACUCACCCGUCCGCCGCUAACUUCAAAGGAGCAAGCUCCUUAUCUGUUCGCUCGACUUGCAUGUAUUAGGCACGCCGCCAGCGUUCAUCCUGAGCCAGGAUCAAACUCU
rnacentral:rRNA from 1 species